GGAGAGAUGGCCGAGCUGGCUGAAGGCGCGCGCCUGCUAAGCGUGUAUAGGGUUUAAAGCUCUAUCGAGGGUUCGAAUCCCUCUCUCUCCGCCA
rnacentral:tRNA from 1 species